GGAGAUUUAGCUCAGUGGUAGAGUGCUUGCCUAGCAAGCGCAAGGCCCUGGGUUCGAUCCCCAGCUCUG
rnacentral:tRNA from 1 species